GAGGUUAAGCGACUAAGCGUACACGGUGGAUGCCCUGGCAGUCAGAGGCGAUGAAGGGCGUACUAAUCUGCGAUAAGCGCCGGUAAGGUGAUAUGAACCGUUAUAACCGGCGAUACCCGAAUGGGGAAACCCAGUGUGAUUCGUCACACUAUCAUUAACUGAAUCCAUAGGUUAAUGAGGCGAACCGGGGGAACUGAAACAUCUAAGUACCCCGAGGAAAAGAAAUCAACCGAGAUUCCCCCAGUAGCGGCGAGCGAACGGGGAGGAGCCCAGAGCCUGAAUCAGCAUGUGUGUUAGUGGAAGCGUCUGGAAAGGCGCGCGAUACAGGGUGACAGCCCCGUACACAAAAGCGCAUGUGCUGUGAGCUCGAUGAGUAGGGCGGGACACGUGGUAUCCUGUCUGAAUAUGGGGGGACCAUCCUCCAAGGCUAAAUACUCCUGACUGACCGAUAGUGAACCAGUACCGUGAGGGAAAGGCGAAAAGAACCCCGGCGAGGGGAGUGAAAAAGAACCUGAAACCGUGUACGUACAAGCAGUGGGAGCACCCUUUGGGUGUGACUGCGUACCUUUUGUAUAAUGGGUCAGCGACUUAUAUUCUGUAGCAAGGUUAACCGAAUAG
rnacentral:rRNA from 1 species